GGACCAACUGUGCCAGUUCCGGGUCCUCUUUGGCUUCGGCCCAUGACCUGUUUGAUUACAGUUUCCUGCAGGAUCUCACCAGAAGAGCAGGAUAUACUACUGCCUGGAUGGGAGGAUUCUACUUCCAGACCUGGAGAUGGUUGGACCAGAGUACCUUCAGCUACUCCAACUGGUAUUUACAAAACUCAGUCACUUCUUACCCGUGUAUCUACCUGAGAACCACAGGGGGCUGGACCAAUGCUGUAUGCACUACUGGAUAUCCGUUUAUCUGCGCGAAGAAAACAGACUCCUGCUGAACCAUCAAACAUCAGGACAUCACAGUCUCUGGAAUAUGAUGCUUCACACUUUCAGUGUUAUCAUUUAAACCAUGUUUAGAUUUUAGGAGAUGGGACGGGACUCUUCUACCAGCAGUGUCUUUGAAUGAUGCUGUUUAUCUUCAACUAAGAUUGAACUAACUUUUUGUUUAUACUACUUUCCUCUAAAAUCAGACUUAGAAAGAAGCUGAAUGAUGAUUGUCUUUUCCUUCUUCAUGUUUUACAGAAACAAAAAUAAAAUACAUGUCAUAAAAAACAAA